rnacentral:rRNA from 1 species
UACGGAGGAUGCGAGCGUUAUCCGGAUUUAUUGGGUUUAAAGGGUGCGUAGGCGGAUCGUUAAGUCAGUGGUCAAAUUGAGGGGCUCAACCCCUUCCCGCCAUUGAAACUGGCGAUCUUGAGUGGAAGAGAAGUAUGCGGAAUGCGUGGUGUAGCGGUGAAAUGCAUAGAUAUCACGCAGAACCCCGAUUGCGAAGGCAGCAUGCCGGCUUACUACUGACGCUGAAGCACGAAAGCGUGGGGAUCGAACAGG